CUCUACUUCAGUCAAUCCUCUUUGGAUGUAAACAUCGCAAAACCUGACAGGCCCCAUUUGCUGACCUGAAACGAAAAUAAAACUCAUUGAAAACGCAGAAAAAUCCACGAAAAAAUGUGACUGCACCCGAAGGCCUAUGAACCGAGUCGAUUUCCAAAAUGGAGGUCAUGGAGACGGCGGGAGAUUUAAAAUCGCCGGACGAGGACGUGCUGGAGAUACUGGAAGAUCUGGAGACGUACGCAGAGGAUAUAAAUGAUGAUUUCCGGGAGAAAUCUGUGGCGGAGAAUUCAGUGAAUCCUAAGAAACCAUCGAAGACCGGUGUCGAAGGGUUUUUGGAUAUUCUGACAUCAGGAGCACCACGACGCAGGAGAAAAUCGAGGAGAGGCGGUAGAAAGAGAUUGUGCAAAAAAUGUGGCAUUCGAAAAACCGAGGGCUGCACAUGCCCAAAACCUCUGCCAAUACCCCAGGGACCGGUCUCUCGAAAAAUCUCCAGACGUCGGAAUAAAUCGCGAGUCUAUUCCCCAGCUCCUGCUGUCGCACCGAUGAUUGUUCCUGUAUUUUUCAUCAAUGAUGUCUUUCGCAGGCCGCAGGAUCAUCUUGCUUGGUGGAGGAUGAGCAACAAGUGCUAGAACCUAGUAGAUUGAUUUAUAAUGGAUUUAUGUCGCUUGAUUUGUUGAAUUAUCAAUUGUAAGAGUGGAGUGAUUGAAUGAAUGAGUUUAACAAUUAUAUCGAUUAUUUACCUCGAUAUUUCCCGAUUCAUGCAGUGGCUAUUGUGAUGACACCGAAAAUUCCAUGUAAAAUUUCGAUUUUUCCACAUUCUCACAUUUCACUAUUGCACAGAUUAGAAUAAUCCUUCCGGGAAAAGUUUACGGUAAUUAAUAGGAGGGGAGGGAGUGAAACAAAAAUAAUAAUAAUCACUGCACCACUCGCGACCAAUCGGAACUCACGAAGAAAUACGAAGAGGACACGAUAUUUCGACACUUCUCGGGGGUACGACGUACUUUUAAUUUUCCCACGGAUUUAGUGAUAACAAUUCAACCGCGAAGAGAAGAGGAAUAAUAAGAUUUAUCUGAAUAAAUCCAAUUGAAAUGGCACCAAUUGAAAACUGAAAUGACCCCCUUGUACCCUGAAGAGGAAGAGGAAGAGGCACUCCUGCAGGAGAUUCUCCAGAUUUUCGAGAAAGCCUCGGAAGAUCGGGAAGAAGUGGUUGAAAUUUUUCCAACACCUCCACCCACUCCCAGCAUCGAAAA